rnacentral:rRNA from 1 species
GGCUAACCUGCCCUUGGGACAGGGAUAACCCCGGGAAACUGGGGCUAAUCCCUGAUAGGUGAGGGCUCCUGGAAUGGGCCCUUGCCGAAAGGGCGCCUGGACCAUGCCUCUAGGCGCCGCCCAAGGAUGGGGCCGCGGCCGAUCAGGUAGUUGGUGAGGUAACGGCUCACCAAGCCUAUAACCGGUACGGGCCGUGGGAGCGGGAGCCCGGAGAUGGGCACUGAGACAAGGGCCCAGGCCCUACGGGGCGCAGCAGUCGCGAAACCUCCGCAAUGCGCGAAAGCGCGACGGGGCCAUCCCGAGUGCCGCCCGCUGAGGGCGGCUUUUCCCCGGUGUAGACAGCCGGGGGAAUAAGGGGAGGGCAAGCCGGGUGUCAGCCGCCGCGGUAAUACCCGCUCCCCGAGUGGUGGGGACGCUUAUUGGGCCUAAAGCAUCCGUAGCCGGCCAGGCAAGUCCCCUGUUAAAUCCAGCGAUUCAAUCGCUGGCCUGCGGGGGAUACUGCCUGGCUAGGGGGCGGGAGAGGCCGGCGGUAUUCCCGGGGUAGGGGUGAAAUCCUAUAAUCCCGGGAGGACCACCAGUGGCGAAGGCUGCCGGCUAGAACGCGCCCGACGGUGAGGGAUGAAAGCUGGGGGAGCGAACCGGAUUAGAUACCCGGGUAGUCCCAGCUGUAAACGAUGCGGGCUAGGUGUUGGCACGGCUACGAGCAGUGUCAGUGCCGCAGGGAAGCCGUUAAGCCCGCCGCCUGGGGAGUACGGCCGCAAGGCUGAAACU